rnacentral:rRNA from 1 species
ACGGCCACAUCACGUUGAAACAUCGGUUCCGGUACGAUCACCGAAGUUAAGCAACUUUGAGCCUAGUCAGUAUCUAGAUGGGUGUCCGCUUGGAAAUACAAGGUGCUGUAAG